rnacentral:lncRNA from 1 species
GAGAGGCGAGCCGAAACUACAUUUCCCAUGAUGCAGUGGGAAUUUAAAGCCACAGCAAUGCAGCCACACUUUUGAGACCGGUGCUGCGCCUGGCAGUUGGUCUGUAGUCUUGCAAACUUAGGUGUGCGUGUGAAUUUCCUAAGGAGCUUGUUAAAAUGCGUAUUCCUGGGGGUCUGCCUUGGAGAGUCUACAUUUUCAGUGCGUGCCCCACGUGAUUCUGAGCCGAGCAAGAUUGUGCGAACUACUGUCAUCUCUCCCCUGCACCAAAAAAAUAGCAUCCUAGUUGGUUGCCUUGCUUCCAGCCUGGCUGCCUUCGAAUCCACUUUUCUCAGAAGAGCCAGCAAUCUACUUUCAAUGAAAAAUCUAUUCCUGCUAUUCGCCAGGCUUUUCACUCAUUCGGCAAACAUUGAUUGGGUGCCUCCCAGGUGCCAGGCCCUAUUCUGAUAACUGGAGAUACAAACGGUGAACAAGAAAGACAAGGUUUCUGCUCUCUUGGCACUUACAUUCCUUUUUGGGGGGAGGUGGGGAGAGCACAGACAGUCAACACAUAAGAAGAAAAUUCCAGAGAGUGUACUUUUGCCUGGAACACCUUCCUCCACUCCCUCCGAGCUUGCCCUCCAAUGUAAACUCCAAUCUCGCCUUCAAUGGGACUUCCUCUGGAGCCUCUUUCUGGACCCCUGACUGAAGUUUCCCCACAGCAUCCUGUCAUUCUUCACUGAGCCACUCUGGAUAACUGUAAUCAUUUAAUUAUUUACAAUUAUCUGUCUGAUGUUUGGAUUCUCCACCAGACUGUAAACUCCAUGAUGCAGAACCGCAAUUGUUCUGGCCACUGUUGUUUCUCGGAGUCUAUCACGGUGCCUGACCCACAGCAGAACUUCAUCAGUGUUGUUGGUUGGAUGACAGGCUGCCUGCCAGGCCAGGCAUCUUCCAUACUUGGAUAUGGUGGGAAAUAAAAUGGAUCUGUUUAGGCAGGGUCUUGAACCAGAGGUGGUCAGACUUGAUUGGGCUGGCAGCAGAAUAGCAGUUGAGCUAUGGAAUGAUAACCCCACUUCCAGAAGAUUCCUCUGGGAAGACACUCACAGGAUGGGCUGGAGUGGGGGCACACUGGAA